UACGAAGGGGGCUAGCGUUGUUCGGAAUUACUGGGCGUAAAGCGCACGUAGGCGGGUUUGUAAGUAGGGGGUGAAAUCCCAGAGCUCAACUCUGGAACUGCCUUCUAGACUGCAAGCCUGGAGGUCAGGAGAGGCGAGUGGAAUACCGAGUGUAGAGGUGAAAUUCGUAGAUAUUCGGUGGAACACCAGUGGCGAAGGCGACUCGCUGGACUGAUACUGACGCUGAGGUGCGAAAGCGUGGGGAGCAAACAGG
rnacentral:rRNA from 1 species